rnacentral:lncRNA from 1 species
AUCUACUGGCUUCUUUGUAGAGUUCAGAUUGUCUCCGAAAACUGCUCCACCACAAGGUGAAAUUCUGGUCCGGACUUGAUCAGAACUACCCGGAGUCUCUGCAUGCUGAACAAGUGAAGACAACAGUGAAUUCACCUCAAACGAUGCGGCCAUCAUAGCCUUCCUUCCUCAGUGGAGAGCUACAGGUAAUCAGAUAUGGAAAUGGGUGGAGAGAGAAAAAAAUAACCUGUCCUGCUGUGUGAAGUGCAGCUGAUGACAUGUGUUUGGAUGCGCUCUGGGUUUCAGAAACACAAGAGAGGAAGUUUUAUUACACUG